rnacentral:pre_miRNA from 15 species
GCAGCAUUGAAUAAUCUCAAUUUGUAAAUGUGAGCGAUUUGAGGCAUUUGACACACUCACUUUGCAACUGGAGAUUGCUCGAAACUGC